rnacentral:rRNA from 1 species
GCUCAAAUUUAAAAUCUGGCAGUGCUUCACUGUCCGAGUUGUAAUCUAGAGAAGUGUUGCUCACACUGGACCAUGUAUAAGUCUUCUGGAAUGAAGCGUCAUAGAGGGUGAGAAUCCCGUCUUUAACAUGGACUACCAAGUGUAUUUGUAGCAUGCUCUCAAAGAGUCGAGUUGUUUGGGAAUGCAGCUCUAAAUGGGUGGUAACUUCCAUCUAAAGCUAAAUAUUGGCGAGAGACCGAUAGUGAACAAGUACCGUGAGGGAAAGAUGAAAAGAACUUUGGAAAGAGAGUUAAACAGUACGUGAAAUUGUUGAAAGGGAAACGCUUGAAGUCAGUCGCAUUGGCCAGGGAUCAACCUUGCUUUAGGUGUAUUUCCUGGUUGAUGGGCCAACAUCAGCUUUGACUGUCAGAAAAGGAUAGGAGGAAUGUGGCACUCUAUUGGGUGUGUUAUAGCCUUUUAUCAUAUAUAUGGCAGUUGGGGCUGAGGAAUACAGCACGCCAUUAUGGCCGGGAUUAAUCCACGUUCGUGCUUAGGAUGUUGGCAUAAUGGCUUUAAUCGACCCGUCUUGAAACACGGACCAAGGAGUCUAACAUGCCUGCGAGUGUUUGGGUGGAAAACCCCUAGUGCAUAAUGAAAGUGAAAGUUGAGAUCCCUGUAAUAGGGUGCAUCGACGCCCGGACCUGAGCUUUUCAGCAAUGGAUCUGCGGUAUAGCAUGUAUGUUGGGACCCGAAAGAUGGUGAACUAUGCCUGAAUAGGGCGAAGCCAGAGGAAACUCUGGUGGAGGCUCGUAGCGAUUCUGACGUGCAAAUCGAUCGUCGAAUUUGGGUAUAGGGGC